UGCACCAGACCCCUCGCUAUCGCACGUCCUAGAUUGGAGCGGUGGAUCUGCAUCUCAUAUCUUCAUCACCGAGUCCAUGAGGUGCUCGAUGUGGCAGGGGCGACGAAGAGGAGCGCCGCAUCAAUAGCAGCGACGAACGACGGCCCAGCUGCGGCCCAGACUUGGUGGCCGAGCAGCAGCGACCUCGACGCGGCGCAUGCAUGGUAGCUGAUGCACGGCACAGCGACCGCGACCAGGACGCGGUGGUGGGAGUACGGCGACGGCUGCCAAGACCUGGCGUGACGGCGAUGAAGAUAUCGACUCCGACGACUCGCCUCCGUUCAACAGCGCCCUGCUUUUCCGCAUCGCCUCCAUCAAGCAUCACCUUCUUUUCCGCGCGCACAUCACCUCGGUCACUGGUAAACCGCUGUAUCUCUGUACUCUGCUGGCGAUCUGGAUUUAGGAGCUCUGGGAUUUGGAGAAUGCACGGGCUGGAGUUGGGGAAUAGCCCGGGCUUCCUGCAGAAGACGAUAGGUCUUGUUUGGAAAAAAAAUUCACGAACUAGUGACGACACCGGUAUUCAACUUUCUUCUCUUUUUUUUUGGAGAACUAACUUCUUUUCUUUGUGAAAAAACUAUUCAUGAAUCGGAAUCAUCGAAUUAACAAACUGCUCAGCCGAUUCACGAACUAGAGAUGUAUGCACCCCACCGAACUCAAUUUGUAGGCACUACCGAAUCGCAAAUCCCAAACCCGAAUCAGUGGACUGCGAAUCCGGUAACUAUGGCAGGGACUGACAAGUGGCAUCAGACGUCUGGUAGCGUAAAGGACGACGGGUGGUGGUAGGGCUAUGGGAGGAGCAGGUAGACGGAGGAGGUUACCUGUGGAAAACUGGCAUGUGGAGGCAUAAAGGACGACGGGUGGUGAUAGUGCUACGGGAGGAGCUGGUAGGGCUAUGGCGGCAUAAAGGUUGUGUAGAAAUCACUCAAGUCUGCUUUUUAUUAUGGAAGCUCGUUGUAUGUGUAAAAUUAUUUAUACUCUUGGUCCCGGCGCACGGAGCCUACAAGACGCCGAAUGUUCCUGCUGCUGCUUACCAAGCGGGAAAACACCAGAAAUAAGUUCAACUUGGGGAAGAGCAUGAAGAUGAUGAACUCGCUCGGCGGCUUGUACCGUGUUUUGUGCUGGAGGAACAUAAAAAUCUCCGUUUCCUCAUUACUUUAUUCUGAUGGUUUAUUUGCCAUAUGUUAGAUUGGCGAGAGGUGGGGUAACAGAAAGAGGCGACGUUAAAAUCGGUGCUAGUGACGACGCCGGUAGACACGAUGAGCUUGGCGACAGCGGCUGCCGCAACAUUGUUGUACUUGGAGCCCAUGCUAUCCGAGCUCAACAAUGCCAAUAGCUCAGUCCUUUUACGUGUUCAUUGACAAGUUGUCGUAAAGUACCUUGGCGUCAACAACCACGGCCAUAAUGACAGAGUCGUGCUGGCCGACUGCCCUGCUUCCAUGCGCCGAGCAAUCUACUGGUUUGAGAUGACCGUGAGGACAGCUGGGCUCAAGGGGUUGAAUCGGGUUCACCACAUGUGGUGGCAACCUGGGUCAGCUUUUGUUGGCCCUUUCUACAUGUGGUGGAAUAUUUGGUAUCUUUAGCCUGGUUUUAGUUCUCUGACAGCAAUUAGCAAUGCUAAACUUGAGAGCAAAAGGAGUUGUAAGAAGAAAGGAGUUGUAAGAAGUGUUCCUUAGAAAUUGUACACUAAACUGCUUGCACAUUUUCAUGCAUGUUGGCACUCACCUUGGAGCACAAUUAAAUGGAAAUCAGUAGCAAAAAUACAAUCUG